CGAGCCCUGCUGCGGUCUUCCAUGGGAAAGCCAAGGCCAGGCCCUGGACGCACAGGCCUGCGCCCUCCCGCCCAGUGCACUUUACAUCCGCUGACCCCCAGGCUGUGGGAACCGUGGUGGUGACAGGCUGUCAUUUGCUCACAAUUCAGUUUCCAUGUUUGCACGCACAGUGGCAGCAACGGUGCGUGGAAAUGACAGACCUGUGUUUGCAAACACACAGAGUUGGGAACAUCUCGUAUUGGAGAGUAACACUCUGGCCAGGAAUUUGCAGUUAUGAAUUUGCAGAACUAGCUGGAGGCCAGCCAGGGGACCGAGUGAGGUCAGGGCAACAGCUCGGUACUUCAAGAAGCAAUGUUCCCAUCUGUCUAAACUACUGGUUCACCUACUGAACCAGGGCCAAGGGCGACAGCGGGAGACUGCCUGGAGAGCUCCUACUUCAAAGAAAAGCUCCUGCGUUUGGACAAGAUGCGGAUAAAGGGAACAUCCAAAGCAGAGAAUGAGAAGGCACUAGGAGCAGAAAGAGGAUUUGUAACCAGCUGCUAUAGGACCCAAGGCAGAUGACAGGUCAAGAGGAGCUUGUACUGCAAUAUUCUCAGGUUGCCUCCUGCUGGGUGGUCCAGCGCUGGCUAGGAGGAUGGUACCCCGAACUUCCACUCAAAUGCAGCUGCUGGAGACAGGCGUGGAUUGCAGUGUUGCCUGUUAAUAUGGCUCUUGUGGGGGAGCACGUCCAGUUACUUUGGACUAGGUAAGAGCCACAUGCACAGCCCGAGGCUCCAGAGACCUCUCUCCAGAUCCCAGAGCUUCCUCAGAGUCCUAAAGAGCCAGAUGGAAUCUGGCCUCUCUCCCCCCACCUCAGCAGUCCAGAAAAAGUUAUUUGUACACAUGUUAGGUGUCCUCUCCUGCCACACUCCCCUGCUGGCGACUAAUGCAGUCAGAGUCCAGGCUUGGUGUCAUGCAUUCCUCUGGGCUGGGACAAGCAAGAGGACAUGAGCUGCAAUGGAUCCUCCUGUGCAUGGGUGGAGUGGGCAACCUCUCUACUGCCAUAUCUGGUUUCCAGCCCACCCACACUAAGGAGGAAGUGAGGGACUUACCCCAAAGGUGGGGGUGGGAAGAAGCAGAGUGAAGAGGUGCUCAGAGAGCCAUCCCAUAGCAUUCCUCCUAGAGUCACAAACCACCUGGCUCCUUCUCGCCGUAGGCCACAGCCCCUAGGUUCCACAGAGAAUUUCUGAAUUAACCCUCUAGAAAGCUGCCUCUGGCUUCCUACAAGCUCUUUCAGAGCCCUGUCAUGAGAGGUAAGGAAUAAGGUCCUGCCUCCCCCAACUGCUCAGGGGAUCCCCUCCAAGAAUCAGUGCAGGGCUUUAUGCAGCUCUACAAACAGAUCACUUUGUGUGGUGUUGUCAAGAAGCUGCACUCCCCUUGGCAGCUCUUUUUAGAGCAACAUUAACUCCCACAGGGAUUUCUGCUCUAAAUGCUCCAGGCCUGAGGGAAGAAUUCUGUGAAAAACAGGCCUUUCCUUUGCUCCAAUCCAGGCUCUGCUCUUCUGAUGCUGCAGAGGCUUGAGGGUUCCUGGAGAGCAUGCUGCAACGCCAGCAAUCCCGUGCUGCCUCAGCCCUGGGAACACGUUCUCUUUCUCCCCCAGCACCUUGCAAUGGAGGGAAGAAAGGGACACAUGAGAUGGAGUCUGUCCCUGGCUUACAGAUAACCCAUCCUGCAGUAACACAAGUGUGGACUUGGGAAUCCUGUACUGCAGUGUAUGUGGCCUCCAAGAUAUCACGCGUGAAGGGAAGCAACACCACUCUUGGCAGUGGAAUCUGGGCAAUAACAAAGAGGAGUUUGAAAUUCUCUAUGGGGAGGGGAAUGGGGAAACCCGGUGGGACGAUGCGUACGACUGGAAUGUUAGUGUCGCUGGUUACAACCCAUUGAGUUAGGGGAGAGAGGGUAAAAACAGUGGUGCACAAGGUGGCACUUCACAUUAGACCAGCAGUUCUCAAGCUGUGGGUCAGGACCCCAAAGUGGGUUGCAACCCCAUUUUAAUGGGGGUGACCAGGGCUGGCUUAGACUUGCUGAGGCCUGGGGCCAAAGCUGAAGCCUGAGGGCCUCCGCCCAGGACAGUCAGGCUCAGGUUGCAGGCCCUUUGUCUGGGGCUGAAGCCCUUGGGCUUUGAUUUUGGCCUCCCCACGCAGCGUGGGGGACUCAGGCUUUGGCUUGUCCCCCGCACCUGGAGU